CGUCUGCGGUGUUACCCACGACUGCCUGGGACCUGGCCAAGGGCUCCACACACCAAGACCAAGGCAGCAGGAAGGAGAAAGGAGGGAAGGUAAAAGACUACUGAAAAGCUUUCAGCUGGGGCUGGGCAUGGAGGCUCACACCUGUAAUCCCAACACUUUGGGAAGCCGAGGCUGGUGGAUCACUUGAGCCCAGGAGUCUGAGACCAGCCUGGCCAACAUGGCAAAACCCUGUCGCUACAAAAAAUACAAGAAUUAGCCAUGUGCACCUGUGGUCCCAGCUCCCAGGGCCGGGAGCCUGAAACCAAGGUGUCCACAGGGCCCUGCUGCCCCCAGAGGCUCUGGGCAGAGCCCUUCCGCCUUUCCAGCUCCCCCUGGUUCCCGUGCUCCUCGGCCUGUGGCCCCAUCACUCUGGCCUCUGCCUUCAUCUCAUGCCGAGAUCCCUGAAGCGGGCCCAGCUCCGUUCACUGCUCCCCCGGCCUCCUGCUGUUUCCCACACGCAGCCAUGGUACAGGGCAGCUCAUCCCACCACCUCCCCAACCGCAGCCUCCAGGGAUGUACACCCUGCCUCAGGGGCUGUGCCUGGGCCCUGGCUGGUGGAGGGCACAGCCGUCAGGGAAGGCCCUCAGCUGCAGGAUGCCGUGCCUCAGAGACCAACCAGGCCCUCGAAGGCACUGUGGCCGGCCCAGAUGUCAGCAGCUCCAGCAAUUAGGCUGGGACAGAUGGUGCCUGGUGACACAAGGGGACUGUGGGGGCCACAGGGGACCCUGCUCACCUGGACCUACCGUGGAGGCCAGGGAGGGAGAUGGACUCGAAGGGCGGAAGGGCCCAGAGAAGGCACAUUUGCAGAGCAGCGGCCGCAUUUCCAGAGCUCGGGAGCCCAACAGGAAUCCCGUCUGGCCAUGGGACCACCGCCCUUGGGGCUGGGGGAUGCCGCAGGGGACGGCAGAGGGCAGACAGGCCAGGAAAAGGGGAGGGCAGAGGGCAGACAGGCCAGGAAGAGCGCCUGCAAGUGCCCAAGGAAGGGACCAAACCCAGGCCCCUGGACCAGAGCGGCCGCCUGGUGGGGCAGGCUGGAAGGGGCCAAGGCCAGCGCCAAGGGGGAGCAGGUGAGGGACCCUGGUGGGCAUCUGUGGGAACAAGGCCACGUUUCUCCCUGCGCACGCUUUAAUCAAGGACAUUCCUGUGGUUCUCCAAAAGUGUCGCACACUACAUGGGUGUCGUGAGCUGGGCUCCGUGAGAGUGUGCGGGUGGCUGGGGGCAGCAAGGGAGCAGCAAGGCCUCAAACCCGGGCGGCGGCCUGGCCUGCGCGCCAGGAUGUGCGGUGUGAGUUUCCCGAGCUGCAGGAACAAGGUCCACAGACUGGGGAGCUUCACACAACAGAAACUGCCUCGCAGUUCCCGAGGCCAGAGCCCAUCGGGGUGGCUCCCUGAGGCCGUGAGCCCGGACUGUCCUGGGCCGCCCCCUCUUCCACAGGCUGAGAUCAUCCUUGGCGUCUGUUGGCCUGCGGCCGCCUCGCCCAACCUCUGCCCUCAUGUCCACACGGGUCCUCCCUGUGUGCAUGUUGGUGUCUGGAUCUGCCCUUUCUACUGUGGGGCAACUGUCGUCGAGGAUAGGGCCCACCACACAACACGGCCUCAUCGUAACUAAGUAUAGUCAGCAGUGAUCCUAUUUCCCAAUAAGGUCCCAUUCUGAGGUCCUGGACUUCAACAUGUGAAUUUUGGGGGCCACAACUCUACCCUGGCAUGCAGAGAGAGAAGGGGGGCGUGGAGUCCCCCUGGGGGGAAGUCCCUUGGGAAGUCACAGGCCCCCUUGGUGGGGCAAUUGGGACGUGGGUGUGAGGGUCCUGGGUACAGGGAGCCUGCCUACCAAGGCUCUGCCGACAGCUAUUUCUAAAUUCCUCGUGGAAAAUACCCUGUGGCCCUCCUCAUCUGGAGCGAGCGACGGGCUGGAGGGUGUCUGAGCCAGGCUGGUGCCGGGGAGCAGAUGUGGGUGGCCCAACCCAGCCCCUUGUUCUUGUUCCCC
rnacentral:lncRNA from 1 species